rfam:Triticum aestivum genome assembly, contig: Triticum_aestivum_CS42_TGACv1_scaffold_500462_6BL
UUUGUACUCCCUCCGUCCGGAAAUACUUGUCAUUGAAAUGGAUGUAUCUAGAUGUAUUUUAGUUGUAGAUACAUUCAUUUUCAUCUAUUAUGAUGACAAGUAUUUCCGGACGGAGGGAGUAAGAC